rnacentral:sRNA from 1 species
ACAGAAAAUUAAAAUUUCAUUGAUGGAUUAGAACCUGACAAGACUUGAAUUACAUAAGUUGGCAAGGAAAACAAUCCUUCCAAGUAGCUUUUAAUUCAGAACAAAUUGGCAAAUUACAAAUGACUCUAUUAUGAUCUAUAUAUACAUUUUUGGAGGCGAUUUUUGAAGAUAAUAUUGAAGAUUUGAGCCAUAAUUCAACAAUUAAUUUAAAUGGGUGGUUUUUACCCGGUUUAACUCUGUUCGGAUCCUGGAUAACAUGUUUAAUUCUGUUCUGAUCUUGGAUAACAUUAAUUUUUGGAAAAGUUACCUAAAAACUAAUAAUUAAAAACGAAAAUUA